GGAACCUGUGGGCUCUCCGUGAGCGAGGCUGGAGCCACAGGCUUUUCCUCUGUGCCUGAUCGUCUUUCCACAAGGAUGAGGCCUUGACUACUAAUCAACUUUCCGGAAAGGUUGGACAUUUUAACUCUGUCACACCCUGACGAUCAGCAGGAACCACAGGGACCCUUCCCCACGGCUUGGGCGACCCUGCGCAUCUCAGGACGCCUCCUACCAGGUGACAGCACCUGUGUGCAGGCAUCCGUCCCAGCAGCGGGACCUGAAUGUUUCCAGCCGCUGUGCUUCCUGUGGGAACGUGUGACCUGCGUCCCGGGAAGCCUGCUGAAGGAGGAGCCUGGCUGCGUUUCCCCUUGUUCCCCGGGGAAGAGCACGCAGUCUGGACAGCCUAUUAAGCAGGAAACGGAUUCACUCUCACCGACAGCACAGCCCAGUCUCACUCACCCCAACCAGCACCACUAACAUGGAAACUUUUAAAGCCUGCGGCCCAAGGAGUGUGGGUGGCUGGAGCUGGGCUGGGCACUCAUGGGGCAGAGAUGCCCACAUGGAACUCACCCCAGGAGACUCUCCGUGGUGCACGUGGUGCCUGGGCUAUCGGACAAGCUACUUUGUACCCUGUGGCUGUGUACAUGAAACUAACACAAAAUAGUGUUGAAUA